AACGAACGCUGGCGGCAGGCCUAACACAUGCAAGUCGAACGCUCGUAGCAAUACGAGAGUGGCAGACGGGUGAGUAACACGUGGGAACCUUCCCUAUGGUUCGGAAUAGCCCAGGGAAACUUGGGGUAAUACCGGAUAAGCCCUUACGGGGAAAGAUUUAUCGCCAUUGGAUGGGCCCGCGUCGGAUUAGCUAGUUGGUGGGGUAACGGCCUACCAAGGCGACGAUCCGUAGCUGGUCUGAGAGGAUGAUCAGCCACACUGGGACUGAGACACGGCCCAGACUCCUACGGGAGGCAGCAGUGGGGAAUAUUGGACAAUGGGCGCAAGCCUGAUCCAGCCAUGCCGCGUGAGUGACGAAGGCCUUAGGGUUGUAAAGCUCUUUUGGCGGGGAAGAUAAUGACGGUACCCGCAGAAUAAGCUCCGGCUAACUUCGUGCCAGCCGCCGCCGUAAGAC
rnacentral:rRNA from 1 species